GAUCCUACGGGGCGCAGCAGUGGGGAAUAUUGCACAAUGGGGGAAACCCUGAUGCAGCGACGCCGCGUGAGUGAAGAAGUAUUGCGGUAUGUAAAGCUCUCUCAGCAGGGAAGAAAAAAGACGGUACCUGACUAAGAAGCCCCGGCUAACUACGUGCCAGCAGCCGCGGUAAUACGUAGGGGGCAAGCGUUAUCCGGAUUUACUGGGUGAAAAGGGAGCGUAGACGGCGCGGCAAGUCUGAAGUGAAAGGCAGGGGCUUAA
rnacentral:rRNA from 1 species